UGGUGGCGAUAGCGAAGAGGUCACACCCGUUCCCAUACCGAACACGGAAGUUAAGCUCUUCAGCGCCGAUGGUAGUCGGGGGUUUCCCCCUGUGAGAGUAGGACGCCGCCAAGCU
rnacentral:rRNA from 5 species